rnacentral:rRNA from 1 species
ACAAUAUACAAGGUGCUGCAUGGUUGUCGUCAGCUCGUGCCGUGAGGUGUCGGUUAAGUCCCAUAACGAGCGCAACCCCUAUCAUUACGUUGCCAUCAGGUCAAGCUGGGGACUCUAAUGAAACUGCCUACGCAAGUAGUGAGGAAGGUGGGGAUGACGUCAAAUCAGCACGGCCCUUACGUCCAGGGCUACACACGUGCUACAAUGGCCGGUACAAAGGGCAGCUACCUGGUGACAGGAUGCUAAUCUCAAAAGACCGGUCUCAGUUCGGAUCGGAGUCUGCAACCCGACUCCAUGAAGUUGGAAUCGCUAGUAAUCGCGCAUCAGCAUGGCGCGGUGAAUACGUUCCCGGGCCUU